GCCUCGGUGGUAUAAUGGUAAGCACGACAGACCGGAUAUCUGUAAGUGCGGGUACGAGUCCCGCCUGAGGUA
rfam:Dictyocaulus viviparus strain HannoverDv2000 D_viviparus-1.0_Cont667.6, whole genome shotgun sequence.